GAUGAAGAACGUAGCGAAAUGCGAUAAGUAAUGUGAAUUGCAGAAUUCAGUGAAUCAUCGAAUCUUUGAACGCAUCUUGCGCUCCUUGGUAUUCUGAGGAGCAUGCCUGUUUGAGUGUCAUUAAAUUCUCAACCGCACUGACUUUGAAUUGGUGUGGAUUGGAUUUGGGGGGAAAAUUGUUGUGGGCUUUUUUGUAUAGUCUGCUCCCCUGAAAUUGAUUAGCGGUACCUUUGUGGAACUGUCUACAGGUGUGAUAAUUAUCUACAUCCUAGACAUCUGCUGGAAUGCUGCUUUCUAAACCUUACUUGUAUUGACAAUCUUGACCUCAAAUCAGGUAGGACUACCCGCUGAACUUAAGCAUAUCAAUAAGCGGAGGA
rnacentral:misc_RNA from 1 species